UCUGCUGGGGCGCGCGGGGCUCCGGCCACGCCUUGCCACCUGCAGCGGCCCGGGCGAGCGGGACGCGCCGGCCGGGCCUGGUCGGAGGGGCUGACGCGGGGAUUCUUGCAGGUGGGAGAGGAACGCGUUCCGGACGCCUAAGCCAUGGUGGCCAAGCAGCGGAUCCGGAUGGCUAAUGAGAAGCACAGCAAGAACAUCACCCAGAGGGGGAACGUAGCCAAAACUCUGAGGCCGCAAGAGGAGAAGUACCCCGUCGGACCGUGGCUGCUGGCGCUGUUUGUCUUUGUUGUCUGCGGCUCAGGUCAACCCCAUGCACACUGGCCCUGUCCGAAGCUUCCCUGAGAUGGUGGCAAUCUGAGGGAGUCCUACGCCCCAGUGGGACAUCUGAGGAACUGCACAGCCCCGGAGGAGCUCUUCUGCUGCCCAUGGGAGAGCCUGCGGACAGUCCCUUCCUGAGGUCGGAGGUGACCGAGGUGGAGAAGAUGUCCCUGCACCUGCCAUUGUGCCUCCUCCAGCGAUCUUCCAGAUCAUUCAGAGCAUCCGGAUGGGCAUGUGAGCAGGCCCAGGUUCGAGGCUGCUUCCCUCUGGCUGGACGGUGGGGGGCCCAUGGGGAGCGAGCAAGCUGUGCAGAACCGGCGGCGGCUCCCUCAGUUGGUCCCCGGUCCCCACAGCUCAGACGUCUGUCAGGCCGCACUGCCUUCUCCCAGGCCCUCGCGGUGCACGUGGGCUCCCAAGCGGGCAGGACAGUGGACUCUGCUGUUGGCUGGCUGGGCCGCGCGCUCCAGGCGGUGGUGUCUCCUGUGUUCCACUCCGGCUGGUCUGCAUGUGGCCCUCUGAACGCUGGCCGUCCCGCCUGCCACGGAUCCAGUUUCGCCUCCACUGGGAAUUGGUUUUACAAAUAAAUGUCUUUGUUCACCCUUA